rnacentral:rRNA from 1 species
GACGAACGCUGGCGGCGUGCUUAAUACAUGCAAGUCGAACGGAAAGGCCCUGCUCUUGUGGGGUGCUCGAGUGGCGAACGGGUGUGUAACACGUGUGUAACCUGCCCUUGACUUUGGGAUAACUCCACGAAACUGGGGCUAAUACCGGAUAGGAGCUCCUGCUGCACGGUGGGGGAUGGAAAGUUGUGGCGGUGUUGGAUGGACUCGCGGCUUAUCAGCUUGUUGGUGGGGUAGUGGAUUACCAAGUCUUUGACGGGUAGCCCACCUGGGAGGGUGACCGGGCACCUGGGGCCUGCGAGACGCAGCAGUCUGGUACGUGCGGCAGCGGGGGGGAGCAUUGCGCAAUGGCCGCGAGCCAGUUAUGGCGAUCCUGCGUGCGGAAUGAUGGGCUUCGGGUUGUAAACCACUUUGGACUGUGACGAGGACUGAGUGACGGUACUUAAUCAGAAAGCCCCGGCUAACUACGUG